CAUUUUAAAAAAAUAUGGAACGUUGAAAGUUUAAACGAGGCACCAAAGAAAGAACGUGGUGUGUGUUCUGCACCAUCCAGUUUAAGGGCAAGCGUCUUCCAUUCAGGAUGCAGUUCUCUAUUGCACGCGUCUGUUUCUAAUUGACAUCACCUACAGGUUCUCGUGCAGUGCUGCAGUGUUUGGUUUGGAAACCCACCAGGGAAAUGUUUGUAUAAGAACAAAAGAUCCCUUUCCAUUGAAAUUAAAAAGAAUUUCCAUUCGCCUUAACUUUUGUAGGAUCCUGUUGGGUGUUUUUGUUCAAAUCUGAGCUGACAGUGUCCCUUAAACUACAUUUCUCAAAAUAAAUGAACUAAGUAUGCUUUGUGGAGUAGUAUGAUUGAUUUUUUUUUUUAAGCUUGUUUACUUUCAAAUGCACAACACUUGUUAAUUCAUAGUAGAUUUCUCAGAUGCUGGUGUGAAUGUCUCAAAAAAUGCCAUAGAAUCUUGCUCAAACUGUGCUGUACUCAUCAAGUAUUGGGUGCAAAUGUUUUCAGCAGGAAGUGCUGAAUUCUGUAUCUUGAGGAAAUUACAAUUAUCUUGAGGAGAUGUACAUUUUUGUGCUAAUGAUAAUGUUGAAAAUAGGAGGCGGUAACUUUUUUUAGAAAGUGGAGGAGAAUAUGCCACCUUUCUUUACUGAACAGAGGGAAACUCCUGUAAUGAAACAAAAGUUUUUCCUCACACUAAUGCUAGCCUAUCAUAAUUAAAAUGAUAUUCACAUACAAGGAACCAGUUUGUUGUUUAUGAAAAAUAGUUUCCAUACCUUUAAAUGCCUUAUUUUUU